rnacentral:rRNA from 1 species
GAUGAACGCUGGCGGCGUGCUUAACACAUGCAAGUCGAACGAUGAAGCCCAGCUUGCUGGGUGGAUUAGUGGCGAACGGGUGAGUAACACGUGAGUAACCUGCCCUUAACUCUGGGAUAAGCCUGGGAAACUGGGUCUAAUACCGGAUAGGAGCGUCCACCGCAUGGUGGGUGUUGGAAAGAUUUAUCGGUUUUGGAUGGACUCGCGGCCUAUCAGCUUGUUGGUGAGGUAAUGGCUCACCAAGGCGACGACGGGUAGCCGGCCUGAGAGGGUGACCGGCCACACUGGGACUGAGACACGGCCCAGACUCCUACGGGAGGCAGCAGUGGGGAAUAUUGCACAAUGGGCGCAAGCCUGAUGCAGCGACGCCGCGUGAGGGAUGACGGCCUUCGGGUUGUAAACCUCUUUCAGUAGGGAAGAAGCGAAAGUGACGGUACCUACAGAAGAAGCACCGGCUAACUACGU